GCGGAGGUUGUCGAGCAUGGUCAAAGGCGAUGGAUUCAGGGUCCAUUCCUGCAGGGGUUCGCCGGUUCAAAUCCGGCCCUCCGCA
rfam:Thermoplasmatales archaeon Gpl AMDT5_GPLC00001, whole genome shotgun sequence.